AACGAAUUCAUAUGCAUCUUCUGGGGAGCGAUCAAAAAUGCUGAAUGGGGUGCCUGGGAUUUUGGUCCAGUGAUGAGGAAGGAACAUUGAUACAUUUCCAAGCUAGAAUGCUUUGUGACUUGAUUGGGAUCCAGGAGACAAAAGCACCUGCUACCUUUGCUCAUCCAGCCGAUAGAAGUCAUGAGUUUGGAAGAUACUGUUGAAAGGCCCCUGGGUGCCCGACAGGGGGACAUCUGCACCCCAAUUUGUGGACAUGAUCCUGGAACUCUAACUGGGCAGGACUUCCUCUUCCCCAGGGCCAGCCAUGGAGGCCACACUGAACAAUGGCAGCGGAGUCUGAAGCUCCCAUCCAAGUUUGAGCAGUUUCACCCAUUUGGAGGAAUGACCAGCACUGUAAGGAGAAGGUCAUUGUUGUUUUCCACUCCACCAGGGCAGGAUCUUUCUAAUUUAUUUUUAUUCAUUCAUGGGAUGUGGGCAUCACUUACUUUGCUGGCCAGCAUUCCUUGCCCAUUGCUCAUUGCACUUCA